UACAGAGGAGCCAAGCGUUGUCCGGAUUGACUGGGUGUAAAGGGUUCGUAGGCGGUGCGGCAAGUCGGGAGUGAAAUCUCUGGGCUUAACCCAGAGGCUGCUUCCGAAACUGCUGUGCUUGAGUGUGGGAGAGGCGCGUGGAAUUGCAGGUGUAGCGGUGAAAUGCGUAGAUAUCUGCAGGAACACCCGUGGCGAAAGCGGCGCGCUGGACCACUACUGACGCUGAGUGAACGAAAGCUAGGGGAGCAAACAGG
rnacentral:rRNA from 1 species